rnacentral:misc_RNA from 1 species
AAAAUGCGAUAAGUAGUAUGAAUUGCAGAAUUCAGUAAAUCAUCAAAUCUUUAAACGCACAUUGCGCCCUUUGGUAUUCCUUAGGGCAUGCCUAUUCAAGCGUCAUCUAAACCUUCAAGCAAAGCUUAGUGUUAGGUGCCUGUCCCGCCCCCGCGCGUGGACUCACCUCAAAUCCAUUAGCGGCCCUCACGUCGGCUACGAGCGCAGCAGAAACGCGAACUUAUAGACCCGGCAGGGUGGCUCCCAGAAGCUACACUCACCAUUUUGACCUCAGAUCAAGUAGGGAUACCCGCUAAACUUAA